rnacentral:rRNA from 1 species
CAAUAGCGUAUAUUAAAGUUGUUGCGGUUAAAAAGCUCGUAGUUGGAUUUCUGCCGAGGACGACCGGUCCGCCCUCUGGGUGAGUAUCUGGCUUGGCCUGGGCAUCUUCUUGGAGAACGUAUCUGCACUUGACUGUGUGGUGCGGUAUCCAGGAUUUUACUUUGAGGAAAUUAGAAUGUUUCAAGCAGGCAUACGCCUUGAAUACAUUAGCAUGGAAUAAUAAGAUAGGACCUCGGUUCUAUUUUGUUAGCUUCUAGAGCUGAGGUAAUGAUUAAUAGGGAUAGUUGGGGCGAUUCGUAUUUAACUGUCAGAGGGUGAAAUUCUUGGGAUUUUGUUAAAUGACGGACUACUGCGAAAGCAUUUGCCAAGGAUGCUUUCAUUGAUCAAGAACGAAAGUUAGGGGAUCGAAGAUGAUUAG